AUGAUGUAUACAAACCCAUAAAUGAGAUAGGCCCCGGGUCUCUCACAAACCUCUUUAUACUUAUAAAAAUGAGACAACAAAUUAUAAAAUCCGAAGUAUUUCAAGUGGUCUUCGUCUGCCAAAACCACGCACCAAUAGCAUGAAAAAUAGUUUGAUGUAUGAUGGCGCUAAGCUAUGAAACUCUAUUUGAAAUUAAACAAGACGCCCGCUCGGCGUUAACCUCGGAUCGGUGGAUAGGACAUCGUCUGGGCAUCGCCCCCUCCCCUACCCAAACCCCCCAAGAAUAUUC